CUAGAUGCAGAGCCAGUGCUGAAGCACCUGGAUGCAGAGCCCAGAGCAGAGCUCAGGAGAACUCAGCUAAGGAGUCCUGACGGCUGCAGCAGAGAUAGCAGCAGAAAAGGAGCUGAAGAGCUGUGUAAAGAUAUCCCCACGGAGCUAGCUGCAACUGUGACUUUUAGCUAUGAAGCCUACGCUGCUGCCCUUCUACCACCUCGAUGAUGUAUCGACACCGAAGCUGUUUAAUGUCAUGUUAGCUUUUUCUUAUGGACUAUUUUGGUAUUGUGGAGAGGAAUUUAGGGAGAUGGCCUGGCUUCAUUUAACCAAGAUAAGACUUUGUUAUUAAUGUGCUUUUUUAAAGAUAUAGUGUUUUUUAAACAUUUUGAAGUAAAGUAUAUUUUUAUACAAGAC